rnacentral:lncRNA from 1 species
UGGGUGGAAAUGAUGCCUUCGCAGAGCUGAGAGCACAAAAUGAAAUUGGUGAUUCAUGGGCAGCAGCCACUUGAAAAUAUGAACACUCCUGCGUCCCCAGCCCCGCCGGCCUUUCACACCCAUUUGGAGGCGUGUUGAGCAGAGCUGCUAGCCUGCUGCAUCCUAGUCUGCAUGUGUUUGGGCAGGAUGUGAGGACAGGCCAGUUCUACCCUGACAAGGAGCCUGCAAAGGGCAGCAGCACCCCUGAGAGCACUCCAAGAACGUCUGCCCACCCCCCGAGAGGCCUCGGCUGGAACCCAGGGCAGGGCUGAGUAAGAGGU